CUCCCCCGUUUGCUGACCCCCAGGUUCGAUAGCGCCAAUUAGGCGCAACCUCGCCAAGAACCAACUUCGGUGAAGCGACGGGCGGUGUGUGCAAGGAGCAGGGG
rnacentral:rRNA from 1 species